rnacentral:lncRNA from 10 species
GGUUACUUUCUCAGCUGUAACCAGGAGGCAGGGAAGAAGGCAAUGCAGUCCUCAUUCUUUAGAGACUCAACCUGUGUCCCCAGCCCUCCCCACCUCCUCCCACACCCCCCUCCAAACUCAGCUUGGCUGGGAAAGGAAACUCCCCAGUCUGCUGUGCUCCUGCAAGCUGAGUGUUUGCAGGUGAAUCUACUCCAGGCCGUGAGCGCCCCAGAGGUGGGAACUAUAUCUUAGUCACCCUUGUACUUUCAAGCCUCACAAUGGGACCUGCCGAAAAAAGGGCACUCAGUAAACGUCUUGUGAACGCAUGAAUUGGGCAGCUGUUGGUGUACGUGUUUUGUUUCUGAUGCUGAGACCCUUCCUGAACCGGAUCUCCAUCCCUUCACUGAGCAGGGUUCACACAUAUUUAUGUUGGAGUGCAAAGGCUUCCGAUGCCCGGACACGUGUCCUCCAAUCUGAGAAGGGAACCAGGGAAGGGGCUGGAGUUGAUGCAUCUUGACUUAAGGGCUGAAGAGUUGGCAAUUUUGGAGGCCAGUGAAGAGCCACGUAGAAAAUGUCCCGCUGCCUGCCAUCAU